AUGAUCGCCAAUGAUGACGACACAUAUGACCCCAUGAGUGAGGAAGAAUUGGAAGCACUUGAGCACGUGGCUAUGCACCGGCGAGUGAAUGAAGACGAAGAUGACCAAGUGUUUUGUGACAAUGAUUCAAGUCCCGCUCUUGUUGUCUCCAAGGUCUUGAUGCUUCAACACCAACAAGACGAAGACCAACGUUGCCACAUCUUCCACGCCAAAGCGGGCAUCAAUGGACGUUGUGUGAAGGUCAUCAUCGACGGAGGAAGUUGCCACAAUUUGGCAAGUGAAGAGCUAUGUUCCAAGCUACAAUUGAUCAAGAUGAAGCAUCCUCAUCCCUACAAGGUCCAAUGGAUCAGCGACUUCGACACCAUUCAAGUGGAGCACACCAUUCAAGUCUCUUCAAGAUUGGAGCAUACGAAAACAUAUUGGAGUUUGAUGUGGUUCCCUUGUCCGCUUGCCACCUCCUACUUGGAUGACCUUGGCAAUUUGACCACGGCAUCAUCCACAAUGGGCAUACAAUCACUACAACUUCAAGAUGAAGGGAAAGGAGUACGUGCUACGACCUAUGUCGCCAAGCUAGGUGAUCGCUGA
rnacentral:rRNA from 1 species